AAGAAAAAUUUUCCUCAAAAUAAGUCAAUUUUUUGAAUGACGUCAUUGUUUGGUAUUUGACGUCACGAACGUCAAGUUUUCAUAUUUUUUGGCACACUAAAUGCAACUAUAAAAAAUACGAAACACACAAAUAAAUACAAUAAUAAACAAAAUAUUUUUAAAACAACAGCACACAAAUUGUAAGGUAACCCAGGUGCUUCGGAUAAGUAAUUGGGCAGUUCUUUUAAGGCCUUUGAAACAAGACAAAAGUAGAACUGAAGGUAACCCAGUGC
rnacentral:lncRNA from 1 species